AUCUGUCAGUUCUCUUAGGGGAUAUGAAGAGGGAAGCACGAUGGAUGCAUGACUCAGCUGACCUUGGCACAGAUAAUACAGAACAAAAAUAACACAACAGCAGUGAGGGGUAAUAUUCUAUAAAAAGAUGAAUGUGUUUUGCUCUUUUGUCUUUCCGUAAGUUCACCUUUAUACAUGUAAUUUUUAGUUACGUAGAAAAUCAGAAGGCUAUGCCUGAAAUGUUUUCUCUAGAAAUCAGUUCUGAGACUCAGGAAUAAAUGGUCUCUUUGAAACUUGUGGCCGGGCGCAGUGGCUCACUCUUGUAAUCCCAGCACUUUGGGAGGCCGAGGCGGGCGGAUCACGAGGUCAGGAGAUUGAGACCACGGUGAAACCCCGUCUCUACUAAAAAUACAAAAACAUUAGCCGGGCGUGGUGGCGGGCGCCUGUAGUCCCAGCUACUCGGAGAGGCUGAGGCAGGAGAAUGGCGUGAACCCGGGAGGCGGAGCUUGCAGUGAGCCGAGAUUGCACCCCUGCACUCCAGCCUGGGCGACAGAGUGAGACUCCGUCUCAAAAAAAAAAAAAAAAAAGAAACUUGUUUCUUUUGCAGUCAGAAGAGUAAGAAUGGGAAAAUGAUAUUCUUUUAAAGAUCUAAAAAAUAAUAAAUAAGUCUAUGAAUUAGGCUUUGAGGAAGAAACUAAUAUACAAUACUGUACUUAUUAUAAUCCAACAACUCUAAUAAUAAUAAUAAUAAUAAGACAGCCAGACACACAUUGUGUGCUUCUUUGGUGCCAGUUUCUAUUUUAAGAGUUUAAUGCAUAUUAAUUCAUUUGAUCCUCACAACAACUUUUUGAGAUAAGCAUUAUUUUUUAUUCUCGCAGCAUCAAUAAGGAACUGAAGCACAGAGAGGUAAAUUACCUGCCCAAGGCAAUGUGGCUGCAGAUGCAGUUGAGCUGCCAGAAUCUGUGCAGUUUAACAUGUUGGAAUUGUCACUACCAAAUUGAGCACUGAAAGCUUUAGAGGCAAAUGUUAUCAAAAUUUCCAGGAAGGAAUUGUCAUUCUCUGUAAAAUGUUCUAGGGGAUAAAAAGGAGGGAAACCCUUCACUAGGUUGAUCUGGGCACAAGUUUCUGACACAUAAAGCACACAAAAAACAUCAUGAAGGAAAGGAAGAAAGACAUUUUCAUUAGGCUAUAUGCGGAGAAUUUUCUUAAGAGAGGUUGUGACAACUUUAAGAAUGACAGUUGAUGACCUAUAAUGCUGCAGGUAGGAGGUUAAGAAUAAACUCUAGGAAUAGAUGAUUACAUUUGAUUAAGGCAAAUUAGAAGCAACAGAAAGGGCUCUAGAUAUCAGUGAAAUAUAGAGAAAGACAUGGAGGCCAAGACUGGGAAAAGCAAGUAAAAAGAAAUGGAAGUGGAAAGAAUUAAAAAGGAGUAGGCCAAGUAUUGUAGGUAUGAAAGAGAGGGUAAAACAAAUACAGCAUGUGCUAAAGGGUAUCCUUGAAAAAGAGAGCCAUAAUAAUAAAGAAAAAUAUCCCAGACAUACAAGAUGACUUAAAUCCACAGAUGGAAAAGGCUUGCCAUGUUCCAGAUAUACCAACACGUUAACGUUGACACUGGGGUAACCUCAGAUCUCUGAGAAAACUGCUGCAUGAAGAAGAGAACACCCACUCUCAACACCAUCACCCCAUCUCCUAGGCAUUGUACAACCCUAAUCCUCUGCUUUCCACCUAGAAUGAUGGAUGAUCCGUGUACUUACCAAAAGUCACUUCUUGGGUCAGGUGUGGUGGCUCACGCCUGUAAUCCUAGCACUUUGGGAGGUCAAGGCGGGUGGAUCACGAGGUUAGGAGAUCGAGACCAUCCUGGCUACCACAGUGAAACCCCGUCUCUACUAAAAAUACAAAAAAAUUAGCUGGGCGUGGUGGUGGGCACCUGUAGUCCCAGCUACUGGGGAGGCUGAGGCAGGAGAAUGGCGUGAACCCAGGAGGCGGAGCUUGCAGUGAGCGGAGAUCGCUCCACUGCACUCCAGCCUGGGCGACAGAGCGAGACUCUGUCUCAAAAACAAACAAAAAACAAAAAACAAAAUCAAAAAACUAACUUCUUCUGCAGCAGAUUCACCCACAGUCACCUACUCAAAGACAUCGUCCAGCAAUUUUCCCUUUUUCUUCCCUAUCAUCACGUUUUCUCUCUGAUGGAAUUCUCCUAUCAGUCUGCAAGCAUGUGACCAUGAUUUCAUUUGAGUAACAGCUAGUUUUUUAGGCCUCAUUUGCCCAGCAAGCUACUCCACUGCUGCUCUGCUCUCCUUUGCAGGAACACUCUUAGAAAACUUCCUUCGUGCUCACUAUAUCCAAUUCCUUUCUCUAAUAUUUCUCGUUCCUUUUCUCACAUUUAAAACUAUCAAGUAACUUAACCUAAAUUGUUAAGUACAAUUGUUGUUGAGCUGUUCAAAUUUUCAACUCCUUUCAACAAAAUUCCAAAGAACAAGCUUCUAAGAUAACCACUUCCUGAUAUUUGAUAACAUAGGUUAAAAUUUCUGUAAAUAUCUUAAGAGAUUAUAUUCAAAUCCAUGUGUUGGAAAACGGUGAUCAAUAAAAUUUUGGCAGUGAGGAAAAUAAAAAUAACUUUCCAUAAUAGGGUUAUUUUUAUCUAUAUAAAUCAAGAAAGAAUUAACACUUUAGCUAUGAUCACAAAAGAUGAGCCGUUGGUAUUAUUGGGAAAAUUUGGAAGAGAUAAUUAAUUUGGGAGGGCUUCUAGAACAAGUACUCAGUGAAAAGUGUUCGCUAAUAAGUAAAAUGACACAUAUGUGAUUGAUAUCUUAAGGCUGAUGACAGCAGCCCUCCUAAAUGAAUCUGCAAUUUGCUACUAAAUCCAUACAAUUCACCUCCUCUAAUAUAUAUAUAUUUUGAGACGGAGUCUCGCUCUGUCUCCAGGCUGGAGUGCAAUGGCAUGAUCUCGGCUCACUGCAACAUCCGCCUCCUGGGUUCAAGUAAUUCUCCUGCCUCAGCCUCUCAAGUAGCUGGGACUACAGGUGCAUGCUGCCACCCCUGCUUAAUUUUUUUUUUUGUAUUUUAGUGGAGAUGGGGUUUCACCAUGUUGCCCAGGCUGGUCUCAAAGUCCUGAGCUCAGGCGAUCCGCCUGCCUUGGCCUCCCAAAAUGUUAGGAUUACAGGCGUGAGCCACUGCGCCUGGACCUCCUCCAACUUUUGGCCAAGCCACGCAAUCUUUAAGCUCCCAUGUCUGUCCAUGAUUGUAGGUUUAUAAUUUGGAACUUCGGUUAUUUAAUUAAUUAAAAAUAUUCAGCUAUAUCCUGCAAAUAAAUACAAAGUUUUUGUACUCAGCAUCUUUAGUGCAUUUUCCCACAAAGAGUUGUAUGUAAAUGAAAAAAAUAGAUAAAUGCAAGCAUGUAAAUCAACUGCUAUUAUUAACCAUUUACUUAGCUCAAGUUUAUUUACACCUGAAUGAAAGGUUCCAUUUGCAUCAAAAAUAUAUUCAUAUACUCCUAAGGCAGUGUCCGGCGCAGCGGCUCACACCUGUAAUCCUAGCACUUUGGGAGGCUGAAGCGGGUGGAUUACUUGGGCUCAGGCAUCCAGCCUGGACAACAUGGCAAGCGCCAUCUCUACGAAAAAUACAAAAACUUAGCCAGGCGCGGUGGUGUGCACCUGUAGCCCCAGCUACUCUGGAGGCUGAGAUGGGAGAAUCGACUGAGCCUCUGAGGUCAAGGCUGCAGUGAGCUGGGAUUGUGCCACUGUACUCUAGCCUGGAUUACAUAUAUUUGUAUAUAGCUGCACAUUACCAAAGCUAGUGUCACUGUGCCUAGUGGCUUACUGCCUCAUUCAACUGAAAAGAUCAAACUAAUUCAAUCCUGCUCUCCGAAGAACACUUUUUCUGAAUGGGCUCUCAGACUUUUUCUGAAUGGGCUCUCAGAUUCUGCUUUCCUAAGAAAGUGUGUUGAGCUGUUGUUCUACAGCAUUGUUCAAUGCAAAGACAGGGUUGGCUGUAGGUUUUCAGAAGGUGACCUUUAUCAGGUUGAAGAAGUUCCCUUCUCCUCUUACUUUGUUGAGGUUUUAUCAUGAGUUGAUGUUGAGUUUUGUCAAAUGUUUUUUCUGCAUUUCUACUGAAAUGAGUCUUGUGGUCUUGUCCCCUUUAUUCUAGCAAUAUGGUGUAUCAUAUUAAUUGAUUUUCAGAUGUUAAACUAGCUUUGCUUUCUUGAAAUAAAUUCCACUUGGUCGUGGAGUAUAUUCUUUUUAUAUAUUGCUGGUUUCUGUUAAUAUUUUAAGAUUUUUGUAUCUGUAUUCGUGACUGAUAUAGUUUUCUUGUAAUAACUGUUAUAAAUAGUUAUUGUGUGGCUUGGCCAAAUACUGGAGGAGGUGAAUUGUAUGGAUUCAGUAGCAAAUUGCAGAUUCAUUUAAGAGGGCUGCUGUCAUCAGCCUUAAGAUAUCAACCACGCUGGGCGCAGUGGCUCACGCCUGUAAUCCCAGUGCUUUGGGUGGCUGAGGUGGAUGGAUCACAAGGUCAGGAGUUCACGACCAGCCUGGCCAACGUGGUGAAUCCCCAUCUCUACUAAAAAUACAAAAAUUAGCCGGGCGUGGUGGCGGGCGCCUGUAAUCCUAGCUACUCGGGAGGCUGAGGCAGAGAAUUUCUUGAACCGGGGAGGUAGAGGUUGCAGUGAGCUGAGAUCAUGCCAUUACAUUCCAGCCUGGGCAACUCAAAAAACAAAAAAAAGAUAUCAAUCACAUAUGUGUCAUUUUACUUAUUAUUGAACACUUCUCAAUAGAAUUCUUUUUGCUAUAUUUGAGAUAUCCCAUUUUCUUCUGCGUAUGCUAUUGGGAGAUAGGAUAACUAAAAUAUUAUAUAUAAAAUAUAAAAUAACAAUAUAUAAAAUAACUAAUAUAAUAACUGUAAUAUAACUAUAUAUAGCUAUAUAUCUAUAUAUAACUGCAAUAUAACCAUAAUAUAUAAAAUAAUUAAUAUAACUUAUAGAUUAAUUAUAAAAUAUAUAUAAAACUAAUAAAAUAACACCAAUAUAUAAAAAAUAUAAAAUAACUAACAUACAUUGGUAUAGUUUCUUGUAAUAACCAAAAGAAAGUGUUCCUUUUUUCUCUAUUUCUUGGAAGUGCUUAUGAAGAACUGGUAAUAUUUCUUAUUUUUUAUUUUUUUUGAGACAGAGUUUUGCUCUUGUUGUCUAGGCUGGAGUGCAAUGGCGCGAUCUCGGUUCGCUGCAAUCUCUGCCUUCCAGGUUCAAGUGAUUCUCCUGCCUCAGCCUCCUGCGUAGCUGGAAUUACAGGCGUGUGCCACCACACCCGGCUAACUGUAUUUUUAGUAGAAACGGGGUUUCACCGUGUUGGUCAGGCUGGUCUUGAACUCCUGACCUCAGGUGAUCCGCCUGCUUCAGCCUCCCAAAGUGUUGGGAUUACAGGCGUGAGCCACCAUGCUUGGCCAAUAUUUCUUCUAUAAAUGUUUGUUAGAACUCACCAGGGAGGCCACUGGGCUUUGCCUUUUCUUCAUGGGAAGAUUUUAAUUACUAUGCCUUAGCUGGGUAAUACAAAGAUGUACCUGCAUUAUUUCGGAUUUUCGUCUUUUUUGCAUUCUCUCUGUUCUUCUUGAUCAUUCUAGUUAAUUAUUUUUUUUAACCAACUUUGUUGCUCUUUUGUUUUUUUUUUAGACAGUCUCACUCUGUUGCCCAGGGUGAAGUGCAGUGGUGCGAUCUUGGCUCACUGCAACCUCUGCCUCCCAGGUUCAAGCAAUUCUUGUGUCUCAGCCCCCUCCCUCUGCCGGUCCCCCCUUCCUCUUGCUGAGCAGCUGGGAUUACAGUCAUACACCACCAUGCCUGGCUAAUUUUUGUAGAAAUGGGGUUUCACCAUGUCACCCAGGCUGGUCUCAAACUCCUAGCCUCAAGUGAUCUACCAGUCUUGGCCUCCCAAAGUGCUGGGAUCAAUAGAAGCUUUUCAAUUUUUUUAUUCCAAAGCUAUCUAAUGCAGUUUUUGCUGUAUUUGAGAUAUCUCAUUUUCUUCUGCAUAUGCUAUUGGGAGACAGGAAAGAUUUUGGAAAAUGUGUAAGAAAAAGGAAGAUAUUAAAAACAUACUAAGAUUGUAUGUAGGGAAAGGUUACACCACUAAAUUUGAUAAUGUUCAUUAAAAUGACAAAUUAUUGAAAAGCACAGCUUGAUAAAUCUAACAAAAGAAGAAAAAGAAAAUGUGAAGAGUUGAAUAUAUGUGAGAGAAAUGUAAGUUCAUUUUUCUUUUUUUUUUUUUGAGACGGAGUCUCUGUCGCCCAGGCUGGAGUGCAGUGGUGCGAUCUCGGCUCACUGCAAGCUCCGCCUCCCAGGUUCACGCCAUUCUCCUGCCUCAGCCUCCCGAAUAGCUGGGAUUACAGAUGCCCGCCACCGCGCCCGGCUAAUUUUUUGUAUUUUUUAGUAGAGACGGGGUUUCCCCGUGUUAGCCAGGAUGGUCUCGAUCUCCUGACCUUGUGAUCUGCCCGCCUCGGCCUCCCAAAGUGCUGGGAUUACAGGUGUGAGCCACCGCGCCCGGCCGUAAGUUCAUUAUUAAAAUGGGCCCCACAUCCAUGUGAAAAGGGGUCUAUCUCAGACUUAGCUUUAAUUUUCAGCCAUGAGAAGACUACUGCUCUUCCUCCAGCACUCACUUCUCUAAUUUCUCUAUCAUUCGAUCCUGUCUCCUGUACAACUGGGUGGUAUUUAACCAUGUUUAGGCUCAGGUAUAACCCAAGCUCUGAAACUGUAAUAGAGAGUUAAGUAAAUGAAAGGCAAAAAAUUAAAGACUUAAAAAUAAGGUUUAAGAUGUUAUUCAUCUAGGAGGCUGAAUAAUGAUACAUAUAAGUGUUUUUGUUGUUUAUGUGUAUAUAUCUUUUAUGAAUAGAUUUGUUCCUAUUGUGUUGUAUCUUGUAAUAAUUAUUAAUGACAAGGUUCAUAAAUAGCUAGAUGUUAACAUAACUGGCCAAACUCCAGUGACAAGAGCGCUGUUACAAUCAGUAAGACUUGAGCUCAGAGCUCAGAGCUCAUGGAUGACCAAGGUCAAGGCCCAGUGGUUGUGACGAGAUGCCAGGAAACCUUACCCACUGGAUGGCUGUGCUGUGCCAUGAUGCUGUGAGUAGUCUCUGGGUACACUGCCAGUAGGCUUUUGGCAUACAUGUAUGGGCUAGUAUCUUCAGGCCAACAAACUAUCCCUGUCUCAUUGUUUACUAUCUUUGUGCAGCAAUUUGGUUUUCCUGUUGGUUCUUACUCUGGUCUUGCCCCAAGUUCAAUACUUUGGUUCUUCUCUUCUUGACUUAUUCCCUAAGCUUUCCUUGUCCUGAUUCCCGGAGAACAAUUCCCUUUUCUCUGAAUUGGGAUCCCAUUUCUACCCCCUGCAUACGUACCCCUCUUAAUUCUUCUGGGUAAAUUUCUGUGCCCAUUAACUGUAGACACACAUUUGUAAAUUACUGAGACCCUAAAUUGAGAAUUGUGUUUGCCAUUACUUUUAAAAGUAUAAUCUGAAUCCCAGCACUUUGGGAGGCCGAGGUGGGCGGAUCUUGAGGUCAGAAGAUCAAGACAUCCUGGCUAACAUGGUGAAACCCUGUCUCUACUAAAAAUACAAAAAAUUAGCCAGGCGUGGUGGCGGGCGCCUGUAGUCCCAGCUACUUGGGAGGCUGAGGCAGGAGAAUGGCGUGAAUCCGGGAGGCGGAGCUUUCAGUGAGCCGAGAUCGCGCCACUGCACUCCAGCCUGGGCAACAGAGCGAGACUCUGUCUUAAAAAAAAAAAAAAAAAAAAAGUGUAAUCUGUUUUUUUGCCUCCUGAAAUCACUUAUAUAUAAACACAUUAAAGUGGGUCACCGUGUCACGUCUUGGGCUUCCUUGGACAAGAAUCAAGUGGCACAUGCCUGGCCAAAGUGCUCAAAUCAAUCUGCAAACCAUGGUCACAGAGCCAAUCAGAGAGUCUUAUGGCUUUCAUUGUAGCUUCUCCGUGGAAUAUUUUCAAGGACAUGUGUGUACUUUAGGAUGUUCACAUGUCAUGAUUAAGUUGUAAAUUUCAAAAAUUCUAAGAAUGCCUAUUGUUGGCCAGAAGUAUAAAAAUUGCAAAGAUUUUAAAUAAAAUCAUCUUUCAAUCUUACUUAAAUAGGUCUAUGAAGUCUCCGUCUUUUCCUCUGGAAGUAACUUAGGGCUGUGAAGAACAUUGUCCGUAAUGAAACUGAGAAGGGCUGUUCUCCCUGGGAACAGGAAGGUCACUCUCUUUGCUCAACAAACAGCCUAAAGCCAGGAACACAGGCCUCCCCAGGCCUCUUGGCCACCUCUCAAGGCUCCUCAAUAAAAAAUUCACAUGGAAGAUUUCUAUUCUAUCUUCUCUUCCUUCUUUCCUCCCUUUAGCAAAUAAUUAUUGAGUGCUGAUUAUGUUCUGGACACAGUUCUAGAAUUUCUGUGAUAAGAAACAGAGACCCCAGCAGUGAUUCUCUGCUGGGGCCGAUGGCUCUCAGGGGCAUCCUUCAAAACUGGGCCCAUUUCGUUCUUUUAAAAAAAAAUAAUGUCCAGUUCCUCUAAAAAUUCUGUCAUGACUUUUAUUUCCUUGACGUUAAGCUUUGUGUCUUAGGUUUGUGGCUGCUGACGUUCUCUGGGCCCUGAAGUCACUGCCGCUGGCUUGUGUGCUGGCCACUUUGUCAUGCUGGCCUGUCUCCCACCGGGUGGACGCCCAGUGAGCUCUGGAUGCUGUGUAUGACAAAGACAUGGGGGUUGUUUGGAGCCUGUGAUGUGCUAUUGUUCUCCAGAUAAUGGUUUUCUGCAAGAAACUAGAGAAGUAACUAUCUCAGAUUUCCCUAAUAAAAACAGGCUUUGAGCCAAUUCCAGGCUGGCCCUAAAUUCCUCUUCCUAGCACGUGAAGCUUGGGGAACUCUCCGUGGGCCUUGCCCUUGGCAGCUCUCACUCCUGGUCUCUGCUCCCCCAUUCCUGUCCGGCUAUUGGAAGCACCUCCCCGUUGCCCAGCCUCUCUGCUCCUUUACUGGAACUGGGCAAUGCCCCUUGGGAAAAGCAGCACAGGUUUUCUUCUCCUAGAUUUUGCCGUAUGCUUCUUUUCAGAGCUAUUUGGUCUCUGACAUUUUCUCUCAGGUUUUUCCAGCGCUCUUGGGAGGUGGGCUGUGCCACUGCCUGGCCCAUCGUUACCUGAAGGGAAGCAUGAACAGCCUUUGACGUGGGAGUGGCGACUGCUGAGAGGGAACCGUCUGUACACAAGCGAUGUCGCCUUAUGGGACCCGAGUGGAGCCCCAAACCCACACAGGGCAUGUCUUCAUGGCCUUUCCUGGCCAAUCUGAUGCCAAGAUGCAGUGGCCAGAAGCACCUGCACUUCCACUCCUGUCAAGUCUCUGCAUGGCUAUGGUGACGAAGAGCUCUGCACUGGGCAAGGAAGCUGGCCGUCGAGUGAAGGAAAUGGUGAUGCUGGUGGCCCCUUUCCUGCAGUCAAGUUCCCUAUCAAGGACAUUCAGUUCUCGGAAAGUGGUGAAGGCACACCCUUCCCUGCAUGGUGCCCGCCUCUCUCCAUUCUCUAGAAAUAUUAGAGGCUAGGCUGCUGCUGUAUGUCAGGGUUAGUCCCUCUUUUAUGAAUCCAGAAUAACUCUGAAGAAGCCGAGAAAAAGGCAUGAAGUGAAGAGAAAUCGCUGUAACAGGAAGACAGCAAAGCAGAUGCUAGUGACUACACUAUUUAACGAACUGGAACCAACGAGAAAAUACGGUACUAUUGAAGACUGCACUUCCUUGAACAGAGUGCUCUUCUCCGCAAAUCGGAAAUGCCUACAUAAAUCGCUUUACAAGAAAGACUAUUUCAAAGCAGCACCUUUCUCAAUGUUCUCAUUCAGGUGACAGUUCUUCUUGGUCUCAGCCCCAAUUUUAUUGUCAUUUUCAUCAAUAAGGAUACACAUCUCUGCCAGGAGUUGCAACUGUUGCUUGUCGAGGUGGUCAGUGUUUAUUUCAGGCAUCAUUAUAAAAUGUCUGAUCUGUCCUAGAACACUAAUAUUAAAGGAAAAGAGAAAGAAAGGC